AUCAUCCGCAAGGCUGGUUACGAGCUUCUCCCAUUGACGCCCAUUUGGUCCCAUGUUAUCCCAUAAU
rnacentral:sRNA from 1 species